rnacentral:rRNA from 1 species
UAGGGAAUCUUCCACAAUGGGCGAAAGCCUGAUGGAGCAACGCCGCGUGUGUGAUGAAGGGUUUCGGCUCGUAAAACACUGUUGUAAGAGAAGAAUGACAUUGAGAGUAACUGUUCAAUGUGUGACGGUAUCUUACCAGAAAGGAACGGCUAAAUACGUGCCCA